rnacentral:misc_RNA from 1 species
UACGGAGGGUGCAAGCGUUAUCCGGAUUCACUGGGUUUAAAGGGAGCGUAGGCGGGCAUGUAAGUCAGUGGUGAAAGCCCUCAGCUUAACUGAGGAACUGCCAUUGAUACUAUAUGUCUUGAAUGUCGUUGAGGUUUGCGGAAUAGGUCAUGUAGCGGUGAAAUGCUUAGAUAUGACCUAGAACACCUAUUGCGAAGGCAGCAGGCUAAACGAAUAUUGACGCUGAGGCUCGAAGGCGUGGGGAUCAAACAGG